GUGAAGAACGCAGCGAAAUGCGAUAAGUAAUGUGAAUUGCAGAAUUCAGUGAAUCAUCGAAUCUUUGAACGCAUCUUGCGCUCCUUGGUAUUCCUUGGAGCAUGCCUGUUUGAGUAUCAUGAGCAAAUCUCAAAGUCAAUUCCUUUUGUUGAUUCAAUUGGUUUUGCUUUGGACUUGGAGGCCUUGCAGAUUUCACAGUCUGCUCCUCUUAAAUGCAUUAGCUGGAUCUCAGUAAUUAUGCUUGGUUCCACUCGGCGUGAUAAGUAUCACUCGCUGAGGACACUGUUAAAAAGGUGGCCAGGAAAAUACUGAUUGAACCGCUUCUAACGGUCUAUUAAGUUAGACAAUUACCCUUAAGUUUGAUCUCAAAUCAGGUAGGACUACCCGCUGAACUUAAGCAUAUCAAUAAGCGGAGGA
rnacentral:misc_RNA from 1 species